rnacentral:lncRNA from 1 species
AUGCGCAGUCACCGCUUCUAUCGCCGAUGCUCCUGCCGAUGCUCCUGCCGCUACCCACGGCUGCCCCGUGCCCGCCCGCAGCCCCAGCUUUUCUACCGCCCUUCGUACCGGCCUCUCAAGCCACGGAGGGGGAGAAAAGGGGACGGGACACCGGCUCUACAACUGCUGACACCCGCGUCGCCUCUGCCACCGCCCAGCCCAGCCACCGUCCAGUCCCCGCCCUGCGUCUUCACGUCCCCGCGUGCCCCACCGAAGCCACCCAACGCCGGCACACGGCCCCCGCCUGUCUCCGCCCCGCUGCUAACACCGGCACAGAUCUCGUCAGUAUCCGCUACGCCAACAACUCUCCCCGACAACGCGAAACAGCGACAGUUUUCAACUUUCCUCUUCUACCUCACCACUUCCUCUUCAGAGCCCCAAAAAAGGGAUGGGUUAUCAGGAAAAAAGGGGUUUAAGCUGAGGGAAAAAGCUUCCUUUUCCACAAUUGCCUGUGUUCAAAUUGAAGAGGAAUCCACUUCCCCUGCAAUUUUAAUAGUCUCAACUGGAGCAUUUCAAGGGUUUAAAGCUGCAUUUCAGGGCACUUCUACCCACACCCCGGCACCAAAUAUCUGCGACGGGAGCGAGGCCAGCAGGUAUGUAAUGGUAAUGCCACCUGGGAGACCAUUCUUUUUCUUAUUUUCAUUUAGAAUGUAGACAGCCCUGAUUAAAGGUCCCUAUGAGACACCAUUCAAAUCAAUACUAUUCUUCUCCACCCUAAUUAAUCACAGGUGGAGUGCUACUUAGUAAUCACUGAAAAAUAAUUAUGGAAGUCCAUAAAUUAUCCAACUUAGCUGGCAACACUGCUGAAACACAAAGUUUUUCUUCUUACCUUUUUUUUGUUCCUUUGCUCCAUUGUCCUGAGUAAUUGUAGCAGAAAAGAAAACAUUGUUUUUUCGCAAAGAGUUUUCUUCUACGCAGAGCUCCUUACCUCAAAUUUAACUCAGAGGAGCCAAACAGCUACGGUCCCUCUGAGGGCCUUUAUACCCGCUGGGAUUUGCCGCCUCCCCUUUCCCAGGCAUCGUGGGAAAAAGAGGUGGGCCCAAUUAGGGGUAUAU